GUUUACAUUUAUGCUGAACUUUGAUCUGUGUUGGUUCAACUUGGUACAUUAAGAUAUAAAGCUAUUACAGCCAUUGUCUGAAGGUUUUUUUCCAGUGGUGUAUCAGGCUGAAUCUGAAUAUGAUUUUGGAGACAUCACUGGAGGUCAAGUGUGAAACUUGGAAUGAAAUCUUAACUGCAAACAACCUUCCUGUUGGGAUUUGCCAUCUCCCAUACCCACCUCUCCACACAUCAGUGAGGAUACUUUGGAGACAGGUGAGGGAAGGCUAAAGAAGGAUGAAUGUUUGAAAUUCAAGAUCACCAUGUUGUAAAUCUUUGGGG